rnacentral:tRNA from 1 species
GGAGGGAUAGCUCAGUGGUAGAGUGUGCACUUAUUAGCAUGCACAAGGUCAUGGGUUCAAUUCUUAGUACCUCCA